AUUGAACGCUGGCGGCAUGCUUUACACAUGCAAGUCGAACGGUAACAGGCCGCAAGGUGCUGACGAGUGGCGAACGGGUGAGUAAUGCAUCGGAACGUGCCCAGUCGUGGGGGAUAACUGCUCGACAGAGCAGCUAAUACCGCAUACGAUCUAUGGAUGAAAGCGGGGGACCGUAAGGCCUCGCGCGAUUGGCGCGGCCGAUGUCAGAUUAGGUAGUUGGUGGGGUAAAGGCUCACCAAGCCAACGAUCUGUAGCUGGUCUGAGAGGACGACCAGCCACACUGGGACUGAGACACGGCCCAGACUCCUACGGGAGGCAGCAGUGGGGAAUUUUGGACAAUGGGGGCAACCCUGAUCCAGCAAUGCCGCGUGCAGGAAGAAGGCCUUCGGGUUGUAAACUGCUUUUGUACGGAACGAAACGGUCUGGGUUAAUACCCUGGGCUAAUGACGGUACCGUAAGAAUAAGCACCGGCUAACUACGUGCCAGCAGCCGCCGCGGUAA
rnacentral:rRNA from 1 species